ensembl:snoRNA small nucleolar RNA, H/ACA box 47
UGGAGGCCGAGAAAGUGAGGUGGCUCUGUACUGUGCUGCCUUCCACCGGUUAAGUCCUCCGAGAGCAAAUGGCUGCCCAGACAGGUUAUGUCCCUUUGCCACUCUCAGAGGGGCAGCACUGUCCUGGCCAACAUUUG